ensembl:snRNA U6 U6 spliceosomal RNA
GCGCUUGCUUCAGCAGAACAUAUACUAAAAUUGGAACGAUACAGAGAAGAUUCCCACGGCCCCUCCCUGCACAAGGAUGACAUGCAAAUUCGUGAAGCGUUCCAUAUUAAA